rnacentral:rRNA from 1 species
UAGGAGGGUUUCCGCCCUUUAGUGCUGAAGUUAACGCAUUAAGCACUCCGCCUGGGGAGUACGGCCGCAAGGCUGAAACUCAAAGGAAUUGACGGGGGCCCGCACAAGCGGGGGAGCAUGUGGUUUAAUUCGAAGCAACGCGAAGAACCUUACCAGGUCUUGACAUCCUCUGACAACCCUAGAGAUAGGGCUUCUCCUUCGGGAGCAGAGUGACAGGUGGUGCAUGGUUGUCGUCAGCUCGUGUCGUGAGAUGUUGGGUUAAGUCCCGCAACGAGCGCAACCCUUGAUCUUAGUUGCCAUCAUUAAGUUGGGCACUCUAAGGUGACUGCCGGUGACAAACCGGAGGAAGGUGGGGAUGACGUCAAAUCAUCAUGCCCCUUAUGACCUGGGCUACACACGUGCUACAAUGGACGGAACAAAGAGCUGCAAGACCGCGAGGUGGAGCUAAUCUCAUAAAACCGUUCUCAGUUCGGAUUGUAGGCUGCAACUCGCCUACAUGAAGCUGGAAUCGCUAGUAAUCGCGGAUCAGCAUGCCGCGGUGAAUACGUUCCCGGGCCUUGUACACACCGCCCGUCACACCACGAGAGUUUGUAACACCCGAAGUCGGUGGGGUAACCUUUUGGA